UGGGGAAUAUUGGACAAUGGGCGCAAGCCUGAUCCAGCCAUGCCGCGUGAGUGAUGAAGGCCCUAGGGUUGUAAAGCUCUUUCACCGGUGAAGAUAAUGACGGUAACCGGAGAAGAAGCCCCGGCUAACUUCGUGCCAGCAGCCGCGGUAAUACGAAGGGGGCUAGCGUUGUUCGGAUUUACUGGGCGUAAAGCGCACGUAGGCGGACUUUUAAGUCAGGGGUGGAAUCCCGGGGCUCAACCCCGGAACUGCCUUUGAUACUGGAAGUCUUGAGUAUGGUAGAGGUGAGUGGAAUUCCGAGUGUAGAGGUGAAAUUCGUAGAUAUUCGGAGGAACACCAGUGGCGAAGGCGGCUCACUGGACCAUUACUGACGCUGAGGUGCGAAAGCGUGGGGAGCGAACAGG
rnacentral:rRNA from 1 species